AUCGUUCAACUCUUCGAAGUCGGAAGUAAGCGAAAGCUGAAGGAACGCAAC
rnacentral:ncRNA from 10 species